rnacentral:tRNA from 1 species
GUGGGGAUAGUUUAAAAAAAACAAUGGAUUUGUAACCCGGAGAUGGUAAUGGCCUCCCCGUA